rfam:Picea glauca, whole genome shotgun sequence.
GUAAUGGUGUCUUUAGACACCACCUGUUUCUUCAAAAAAAAAAUU